UACGGAGGAUGCAAGCGUUAUCCGGAAUGAUUGGGCGUAAAGCGUCCGCAGGUGGCAAUGUAAGUCUGCUGUCAAAGCGUCUGGCUCAACCAGAUAAAGGCAGUGGAAACUACAUAGCUAGAGUAAGGUAGGGGUAGAGGGAAUUCCUGGUGUAGCGGUGAGAUGCGCAGAUAUCAGGAAGAACACCAAUGGCGAAGGCAGCUCUCUGGGACGGUACUGACACUGAGACGCGAAAGCGUGGGGAGCGAACAGG
rnacentral:rRNA from 1 species